CCUACGGGAGGCAGCAGUGAGGAAUAUUGGUCAAUGGACGAGAGUCUGAACCAGCCACGUAGCGUGAAGGAUGACUGCCAUAUGGGUUGUAAACUUCUUUUAUAAAGGAAUAAAACGAGGCACGUGUGCCUUUUUGCAUGUACUUUAUGAAUAAGGAUCGGCUAACUCCGUGCCAGCAGCCGCGGUAAUACGGAGGAUCCGAGCGUUGUCCGGAUUUAUUGGGUUUAAAGGGAGCGUAGAUGGGUUGUUAAGUCAGUUGUGAAAGUUUGCGGCUCAACCGUAAAAUUGCAAUUGAUACUGGCAGACUUGAGUACAGUUGAGGUAAGCGGAAUUCGUGGUGUAGCGGUGAAAUGCUUAGAUAUCACGAAGAACCCCGAUUGCGAAGGCAGCUUACUAAACUGUGACUGACAUUGAUGCUCGAAAGUGUGGGUAUCAAACAGGAUUAGAUACCCUUGUAGUC
rnacentral:rRNA from 1 species